rnacentral:tRNA from 1 species
GCCUGGGUGGCUCAGGUCGGUUGAGCGUCUGACUUCGGCUCAGGUCAUGAUCUCGCGGUCCGUGAGUUCGAGCCCCGCAUCGGGCU